rfam:Aedes aegypti strain Liverpool supercont1.49 genomic scaffold, whole genome shotgun sequence.
UGCCCAGCAACUCCUAUCCCUACCUCCUCGUGGUACUGGCCGGGGUACGAGUAACCUUAGAGAGGAUCGGGUAACCAACGCCCGGUGGGAGCUUUGGUCGUAUGUUGACAGGGAAGG